CUAAGUUUAUUGGCUAUUAACCAUUUUCUAAGGUUCUCUAAAUCAGAAUUUACUGCAGUCUCUAGGUCAGUCAUAGAAUUUGCUGAAGCAUAGAAUUUGCUGAAUUUGUCGGAGCAAUCUGCCAACUGCAACUUCAAAAUGGCGUACUUGCAUGGAUAAAAUUUUAAUUUAAACAACCAAGAUAAUUAUUCUUGAUACAGCGUUGAAUUUGAUACAUGCCAGGAUUUAUACGAAACAGCCUAAGAAAAAAAAACGUUUUUCACCAAAACAGUUACUGUAAGUUAUCUUUCAACAUUGUAGCGUUUAAUACCGAUGUUUGUAUUUUAAAUAUUUAUGAGUUUGGACAUCAAUUUUCCAUUGGAUGUUAAUAGCGGUUCACCUCCAAAUCAUGGCAUAAUUGAUAUUGUACCUGAUGAAGUAUACUCUUACAGCUCAUGAAGAAAUACUCUGAAAACUGUGACAAAUAAACUAG